AAAUUUCUGUCAUACUCCGUAGUUGAACUCGCGGAAGUUUGGAACCGACAAAGUGAACAAAGCAUAUCAUGCUUCCCGUGAUAGCUUUUCGUUUCAGGCCCAAGCCCAACCUGCUAACCCUACAAGGAAAGCUGCCUUGCUCUGACCAGCCCACUGGGGUAACAUCCGGACACAAAGGACCAAGUCGGCCCAAAGGUGCCAUCACGGGCCAAUAGAAACUUCGUUAUAGGCGAUCGUCAACUUCGGAAAAAAAGAAAGAAAAAGAACUCCGACUGUCAAGCAUGAAUCAUAUUUUACGCUACGCCGGCUAAUCUGUACAGUUCGUGUGAUAUCAAAAGAGAAGAACUUGACGAAAAAAGAACAAGCUGGCACAAUCUAGUCCUGUGUUCUCCCAAGGAAGCUGAACACAUAAGGAGACGAGCCUAGCUCACUUAGUUGGGAAA
rnacentral:lncRNA from 1 species